GGUUUCUGUAGUGUAGUGGUUAUCACAUCUGCCAGACACGCUGAAGAUACUGGUUUCGAUACCCAGAUGAAGUCA